AGCCCAGACCGCCAGCUAAGGUCCCUAAUUAUGUCUAAGUGGGAAAGGAGGUGGAUAUUCACAGACAACCAGGAGGUUGGCUUAGAAGCAGCCAUGCCUUGAAAGAGUGCGUAAUAGCUCACUGGUCGAGAGUAUCUGCGCCGAAGAUGUAACGGGGCUGAAGACAUAAACCGAAGCUGUGGAAGCGGCCAUGCCGCUUGGUAGGAGAGCGUUCUGUAGGUCUGCGAAGGCUGGCCGGAAGGCCUGCUGGAGACAUCAGAAGCGAGAAUGCAGGAAUGAGUAGCGAGAAGGAGGGCGAGAAUCCCUCCGGCCGGAAGUCCAAGGUUUCCGGGGGAAGGUUUGUCCGCCCCGGGGAAGUCGGGACCUAAGCGUAAGCAGAGAUGUGAUUGCGAAUGGGAAACAGGUUAAUAUUCCUGUACCGCUGUCAGUCGCCUGAGUGACGGAGUGACGCAGCAAGGUAUGUGAGAAGGCUGACGGAAUAGCCUUUCUAAAGGCGUAGCCUGGGCACGCAGGCAAAUCCGCGUGCCUAAAGGUGAGACCCUAUGGGCAAGUGCUCCUGCACAAGUCACAGAUCCUACACUGCCAAGAAAAACUUCUAGCGAGACUGGACAGCGCCCGUACCCUAAACCGACACAGGUGGACAGAGUGAGAAACUUAAGGCCGACAGGAUAACUCUAGCUAAGGAACUCUGCAAAAUAGCCCCGUAACUUCGGGAGAAGGGGUGCCUGACAUACCUGAGGGGAGAAGCGCCUCAAGGGGAAACAGGCCGCAGUGAAGAGUCUCAAGCAACUGUUUACCAAAAACACAGGUCUAUGCUAAGCUGGAAGGCGACGUAUAUGGGCUGACACCUGCCCAGUGCCGGAAGGUUAAGAGGAGGAGUGAGAGCUCCGAUUUGAAGCCCCGGUGAACGGCGGCCGUAACUAUAACGGUCCUAAGGUAGCGAAAUUCCUUGUCGGGUAAGUUCCGACCUGCACGAAUGGUGAAAUGAUUUGAGAGCUGUCUUGGCUGGAGACCUGGUGAAGUUGUAAUGCCGGUGAAGAUACCGGCUACCUGCAGUAGGACGGAAAGACCCCGUGGAGCUUCACUGCAGCCUGGCAUUGGGUUCUGGCAACGUGUGUAUAGGAUAGUUGGGAGACUGCGAAGUUGAGGCGCCAGCCUCUUCCGAGUCGCUGUUGGAAUACCAACCAUAUGCUGCCGGAAUUCUAAUCCGCUCGCGGAGACAGUGCUAGGUGGGCAGUUUGACUGGGGCGGUCGCCUCCAAAAGAGUAACGGAGGCGUUCAAAGGUUCCCUCGGGCUGGAUGGAAAUCAGCCUUCGAGUGCAAACGCAUAAGGGAGCUUGACUGCAAGACCGACGGGUCGAGCAGGUACGAAAGUAGGAGUUAGUGAUCCGGCGGUCCCUCAUGGAAGGGCCGUCGCUCAACGGAUAAAAGCUACCCCGGGGAUAACAGGCUGAUACUUCCCAAGAGUCCAUAUCGACGGAAGUGUUUGGCACCUCGAUGUCGGCUCGUCUCAUCCUGGGGCUGGAGAAGGUCCCAAGGGUUGGGCUGUUCGCCCAUUAAAGAGGCACGCGAGCUGGGUUCAGAACGUCGUGAGACAGUUCGGUCCCUAUCCACUGCAGGCGCUUGAAUAUUGAAAAGAUCUGACCUUAGUACGAGAGGACCGGGUUGGACAGACCUCUGAUGUAUCAGCUGUCACGCCAGUGGCACGGCUGAGUAGUCACGUCUGGCCAGGAUAAUCGCUGAAAGCAUCUAAGCGAGAAGCCGGCUUUGAGAUGAGUGCUCGCAGUAUCCACAGAGAACAUGUGGUCGAUAGGCUGGGGAUGUAAGCGCAGCAAUGCGUUCAGUUGACCAGUACUAAUAUUACUUGGGCUUUUUUAA
rnacentral:rRNA from 1 species